CGCAGUUACAUUCGUCAUUGCAAACUACUGUUGUGAUUUGCUGUGUGAAAGCAACGGCUUGGCAAUAGAAAAAAUGGACUUUCAAAUCAUCCCAUCGCGUUUUGUGGUGAGAACCCUAAGGCGCGACGCACGUAUAGGUGGGUUGGCUAGGGGGUAGAAAAAUUGCAACGCUACUCAUCAUCAGACCUACCUACCUGCGACGAGGUAAGCAGCACCCGAUUGGCCUUUUUUCGUUUUCACUUUCUCGCGGGCGAUGAUGACGAUGGCGGCGUCGUCCCCGCUUGAAGGUUGAAUCUGAGUGGAGCGAGCACCAUCUCACACACGCGGAGGACGCGCGACACUCGUUGGGUGAAGGUACGCAUUCCUUCUAGACGGCCUUAGAGAGCCCGGUCGUCGUCGUCUGGAACGCGUCGACAAGCAUACUUAAAACGACAUUCACCGUCUCGGAUGUAUUGCUCGCUGUAAGGAUUGGUGGUGCACGCGUGUUACGGAAUUUCGGUGUAAGAUUUGUGUGCCGCAAGCUCAUUUCUUCCGAAUUUAUCAUCCCGAAGCAGUGAGAUAACUGACUCGGCUUGGACUUGGACACUACUUCAAGCUCCAACUUCAACUAUGCCAGUUUCAGGCAGUAUGUGUGAGAGUGGUCGGUGUGGCCACGCUAUUGUGCCACCUAAAAAGAGCCAUUCAAGCGAAGCGCCAUAAAGUGUAGACCGCGUGAAAAUCACGCAUUUGAUUUGUGUGCGAUCACACACACACACACACACCGCCGCCUUCUCCGGAUGUGUAUGCGUUCUUGAUGCUUACCAGAUCUGCUGCCAGAGAUGUACAUGGGGAGCACACAGGAAAGGAAUGCACGGGCACAACGCAAGGGCACAACGAUUUAACGUGUAGCAGCAGCGAACGAGCAAGAUUGCGAUUUGACAGUUUGUGCAAGAACGAACAUAAUGCGUCAUCGUAGUAAUCGGGGUGGGCAACGAUGACGGCGUCAUUAUUUACCCCAGAGAGUGCAUGGAAGGCCUACCGCUGCGUCUGGUGUCAAAUCGAACUGGGGGGACCGACAAACGUUGGGUGUAUCAAGACGACCACCAUUCCCUGCUCUUAAUAUCAAUAUACGCAAUCCGUCCAGCCGUCUGUCGUUCCGUUGCUGCCUGGUCCAAAAUGGA